UGAGGAAUAUUGGGCAAUGCCCGCAAGGGUGACCCAGCAACGCCGCGUGGAGGAUGAAUGUCGUAAGAUUGUAAACUCCUGUUAGAGGGGAAGAAUAGUACCGGUUGGACCGGUAUAUGACUGUACCCUCAGAGAAAGCCCCGGCUAACUACGUGCCAGCAGCCGCGGUAAUACGUAGGGGGCAAGCGUUGGCCGGAUUUACUGGGUGUAAAGGGCGCGCAGGCGGGAUAAAAAGUCAGUGGUGAAAUCCUACAGCUUAACUGUAGAACUGCCUUUGAUACUUUUAUUCUUGAGUUCGGGAGAGAGAGACGGAAUUCCAGGUGUAGUGGUGAAAUACGUAGAUAUCUGGAAGAACACCAGUUGCGAAGGCGGUCUCUUGGUCCGACACUGACGCUGAGGCGCGAAAGCGUGGGGAGCAAACA
rnacentral:rRNA from 1 species